CCUACGGGAGGCAGCAGUGGGGAAUUUUGGACAAUGGGGGAAACCCUGAUCCAGCAAUGCCGCGUGAGUGAAGAAGGCCUUCGGGUUGUAAAGCUCUUUUGUCAGGGAAGAAACACCGGCUCUAACACAGUCCGGGAAUGACGGUACCUGAAGAAUAAGCACCGGCUAACUACGUGCCAGCAGCCGCGGUAAUACGUAGGGUGCAAGCGUUAAUCGGAAUUACUGGGCGUAAAGCGUGCGCAGGCGGUUAUACAAGACAGGCGUGAAAUCCCCGGGCUUAACCUGGGAAUGGCGCCUGUGACUGUAUAGCUAGAGUGUGUCAGAGGGGGGUAGAAUUCCACGUGUAGCAGUGAAAUGCGUAGAUAUGUGGAGGAAUACCAAUGGCGAAGGCAGCCCCCUGGGAUAACACUGACGCUCAUGCACGAAAGCGUGGGGAGCAAACAGGAUUAGAUACCCUGGUAGUCCACGCCCUAAACGAUGCUGACUAGUUGUUCGGGAUUUACAUCCUGAGUAACGUAGCUAACGCGUGAAGUCAGCCGCCUGGGGAGUACGGUCGCAAGAUUAAAACUCAAAGGAAUUGACG
rnacentral:rRNA from 1 species